rnacentral:rRNA from 1 species
UACGUAGGGUGCAAGCGUUGCCCGGAUUUAUUGGGCGUAAAGGGCGCGCAGGCGGCCACGCACGUCCGUUGUGAAAUCGCUCGGCUCAACUGGGCGGGGUCAGCGGAUACGGCGCGGCUGGAGCAAGCUAGGGGGCAAUGGAAUUCCCGGUGUAGUGGUGGAAUGCGUAGAUAUCGGGAGGAACACCAGUGGCGAAGGCGGUUGCCUGGAGCUUUGCUGACGCUGAGGCGCGAAAGCUAGGGGAGCGAACGGG